rnacentral:rRNA from 1 species
CGCGUAGGCGGUCUUGUCGGUCAGAUGUGAUAGCCCAGGGCUCAACCCUGGACGUGCAUUUGAAACAGCAAGACUUGAGUACGGGAGAGGAAAGCGGAAUUCCUGGUGUAGAGGUGAAAUUCGUAGAUAUCAGGAGGAACACCGAUGGCGAAGGCAGCUUUCUGGACCGAUACUGACGCUGAGGCGCGAAGGCGUGGGUAGCGAACAGGAUUAGAUACCCUGGUAGUCC